UCAGGAUCAAGUAGAGGAAAGUCUCUCUGGCGAAGAUCACUCUUAAUAUGGAGUAUGCGGGCUUUGGAGUCACGCAGACCAGGGUUGAACCUGUAGGCAUGUGAUUGUGGUCAAAUUACUCCACCCCUCUGAUCUGUGGUUUUGCCAUCUUUGCCAUUUAUAAAAUGAGGGUGGGGAUAGCACCUGCCUCCUAAAUCUUAGGUGAUCUGCUACAUAUGCGGAGAUUGGGGAAUCACUAACACCCAGUAUGGGCCUUAUAGCUCUUAAUUUACAGCUCUUAGCUUCCUGUGUACUCUCUUUCCUGUCACCGGGACUGAAGGGAAAGUGAGGAACAAGAGACAGAUAAGCGAGAAAUGAAAGACUGAGACCAGGCAGAGAUACCUAGGAGACAGUUUCUUUGUCAGGGCUGACAAAUAAAGGCCAUCUCUCUGUAGAUGGAUAGAGGCAAAACAGGCUUGGGUUACAGGACUUUUAUGGGGCAGGCUUAGGAAUCAUAACUAGGCAGAUCUUAAUGCGGGGGUGGUUAGGGGUUGGGUUGGUAUGAGGGAGUGGAAAGCCUUUCUCAGAAAGGUCCUUGAGUGAGAAAGCAAAACUUUUUCCUUAAAAUAGAGACUAUCACUUCAGAUGGCCAUCCAGAUGCUAAGAAAGGACCUUAUAGGGACCGUGUAGCACAGCAAGCAGGGAACAAAAGAAAAUUCAGC
rnacentral:lncRNA from 1 species